rnacentral:rRNA from 1 species
UACAGAGGGGGCAAGCGUUGUUCGGAAUUACUGGGCGUAAAGGGCGCGUAGGCGGCCUCUUAAGUCGAACGUGAAAUCCCCGGGCUCAACCCGGGAACUGCGUCCGAUACUGGGGGGCUUGAAUCCGGGAGAGGGAUGUGGAAUUCCAGGUGUAGCGGUGAAAUGCGUAGAUAUCUGGAGGAAUACCGGUGGCGAAGGCGGCAUCCUGGACCGACAUUGACGCUGAUGAGCGAAAGCUAGGGGAGCAAACGGG